GUGCCAGCCGCUGCGGUAAUACGUAGGUGGCAAGCGUUAUCCGGAAUUAUUGGGCGUAAAGCGCGCGUAGGCGGUUUCUUAAGUCUGAUGUGAAAGCCCACGGCUCAACCGUGGAGGGUCAUUGGAAACUGGGAAACUUGAGUGCAGAAGAGGAGAGUGGAAUUCCAUGUGUAGCGGUGAAAUGCGCAGAGAUAUGGAGGAACACCAGUGGCGAAGGCGGCUCUCUGGUCUGUAACUGACGCUGAUGUGCGAAAGCGUGGGGAUCAAACAGGAUUAGAUACCCGUGUAGUCCACGCCGUAACGAUGAGUG
rnacentral:rRNA from 1 species